rnacentral:rRNA from 1 species
ACUGUUCCCCAACACGUGCUAAACCUACCCUGGACACGGGGACAACCCCGGGAAACUGGGGCUAAUCUUCUAUAGACGAAAACUCCUGAAAUGGGUUUUCAUCCAAAAGGUGUUGCACCUGUGCUCUGGAACGUCGCUCAAGGAUGGGGCCGCGCCCGAUCGGGUAGUUGACGGGUGGACGUAUCGCCAAGUCUAUUCCCGGUACGUCCCGCGGGAUUGGGACCUCACCGAUGGACGCUUUUAAAAGGGUCCACUUCCUACCUGGCGGACCUCCCGGGAUUAUUCCGCAAUGCACCUACCCGUGACACUACCUACCCACCUCGCCGUCCCCUGAGGAUGGCUUUUCUCUGCUGUAAGGAGGCAGAGGAAUAACGAGAGGGCGGUCUGGUGUUCCGCGCCGCUACAAUACCUUUUCUCCCAGUGGUAGGGACAAUUAUUGGGCUAAAUGCGAUCACAGCCGGUUCUGCAAGCCUCUCUUUCCAUCCCUUAAUUCCCUCGUUGGACUGCCGGAGAUACUGCUGAGCUAGGGGGCGGGAGAAGCCGACGGUAUUUCCGGGGUAGGGGUAAAAUCCUAUAAUCCCGGAAAGACCACCACCGGCGUACGCGGUCGGCUAGCACGCGCUCCACCUCGAGGGACGAAAGCUGGGGGAGCGAACCGGAUUAGAUACCCGGGUAGUCCCAGCUGUAAACGAUGCGGGCUAGGUGUUGGAGCGGCUACGAGCCGCUUCAGUGCCGCAGGGAAGCCAUUAAGCCCGCCGCCUGGGGAGUACGGCCGCAAGGCUGACACUGAUAKGAAUUGSCGGGGGAGCAC